UAAGGAAUAUUGGUCAAUGGACGCAAGUCUGAACCAGCCAUGCCGCGUGAAGGAUGAAGGUCCUCUGGAUUGUAAACUUCUUUUAUAGGGGAAGAAACCCCCGCAUUCUUGCGGGGUUGACGGUACCCUAGGAAUAAGCACCGGCUAACUCCGUGCCAGCAGCCGCGGUAAUACGGAGGGUGCAAGCGUUAUCCGGAUUCACUGGGUUUAAAGGGUGCGUAGGUGGGCAUGUAAGUCAGUGGUGAAAUCUCCGGGCUUAACCCGGAAACUGCCAUUGAUACUAUAUGUCUUGAAUACCAUGGAGGUGAGCGGAAUAUGUCAUGUAGCGGUGAAAUGCUUAGAUAUGACAUAGAACACCAAUUGCGAAGGCAGCUCACUACGCGGUUAUUGACACUGAGGCACGAAAGCGUGGGGAUCAAACAG
rnacentral:rRNA from 1 species